UGGGGAAUAUUGGACAAUGGGCGAAAGCCUGAUCCAGCCAUGCCGCGUGAGUGAUGAAGGUCUUCGGAUUGUAAAGCUCUUUUGGCGGGGACGAUAAUGACGGUACCCGCAGAAUAAGCCCCGGCUAACUUCGUGCCAGCAGCCGCGGUAAUACGAAGGGGGCUAGCGUUGCUCGGAAUCACUGGGCGUAAAGCGCACGUAGGCGGGCUUUUAAGUCGGAGGUGAAAUCCCAGGGCUCAACCCUGGAACGGCCUUCGAUACUGGAAGUCUUGAGUCCGGAAGAGGUAAGUGGAACUCCGAGUGUAGAGGUGAAAUUCGUAGAUAUUCGGAAGAACACCAGUGGCGAAGGCGGCUUACUGGUCCGGUACUGACGCUGAGGUGCGAAAGCGUGGGGAGCAAACAGG
rnacentral:rRNA from 1 species